UGGCCUCGGCCAAAGGACGGGGAGCGAAGUCCGGGAGGCAGCGGAACCGGGGUGCAGGGUGCGGUGAGGCGACCAGGGCGGGCGAGGUCCGGGACCUGGCAUUUGGGUCUCCCGGCCGCAGGCGCGCGCGCGAGGGUUUCAGCCUGUGUCUAGGUUUUCCCAGGGGUGUGACAACCUCCGGAAAAGAGCCCUCCACUGGUAUCUGUCACUUGUGACAAGAGAAAGGGAUGAUCUGGCAUCUCAAGGACUACAACACCAGAUGGUCAACAUUCUGAGACCCCAUUUUCAGCCCAUUUGCCCUAUAACUGCUUCAAAAUGUUUUAGUUUUAAGAUGGUUCUUUAGGACGCUAGUCCACC
rnacentral:lncRNA from 1 species